rnacentral:rRNA from 1 species
GAACAUGGUUAAAUCACCCUGAAUGUGCCAAAUCUCGUCAGAUCUCGCAAGCUAAGCCGGAUGGAGCCUGGUUAGUUCUCGAAUGGGAGCAUGCCGGGUGCUUUAGGCU